UACGAAGGGUGCAAGCGUUGUUCGGAUUUAUUGGGCGUAAAGCGCACGUAGGUGGACCUAUAAGUCAGAUGUGAAAUCUCGGGGCUCAACCUCGAAACUGCGUCUGAAACUGUGGGUCUAGAAUCUUGGAGGGGGAAGGGGAAUUUCUCAUGUAGGGGUAAAAUCCGUAGAUAUGAGAAGGAACACCAGAGGCGAAGGCGCCUUCCUGGACAAGUAUUGACACUGAGGUGCGAAAGCGUGGGGAUCAAACAGG
rnacentral:rRNA from 1 species